UGGGGAAUUUUGGACAAUGGGCGAAAGCCUGAUCCAGCAAUGCCGCGUGUGUGAAGAAGGCCUUCGGGUUGUAAAGCACUUUUGUCCGGAAAGAAAUCCUUGGCUCUAAUACAGUCGGGGGAUGACGGUACCGGAAGAAUAAGCACCGGCUAACUACGUGCCAGCAGCCGCGGUAAUACGUAGGGUGCAAGCGUUAAUCGGAAUUACUGGGGCGUAAAGCGUGCGCAGGCGGUUUGCUAAGACCGAUGUGAAAUCCCCGGGCUCAACCUGGGAACUGCAUUGGUGACUGGCAGGCUAGAGUAUGGCAGAGGGGGGUAGAAUUCCACGUGUAGCAGUGAAAUGCGUAGAGAUGUGGAGGAAUACCGAUGGCGAAGGCAGCCCCCUGGGCAAUACUGACGCUCAUGCACGAAAGCGUGGGGAGCAAACAGGAUUAGAUACCCUGGUAGUCCACGCCCUAAACGAUGUCAACUAGUUGUUGGGGAUUCAUUUCCUUAGUAACGUAGCUAACGCGUGAAGUUGACCGCCUGGGGAGUACGGUCGCAAGAUUAAAACUUAAAUGAAUUGACGGGGUCAUAGCUGUUUCCU
rnacentral:rRNA from 1 species